CUUUUAUUAAAAUUCUGAUUCAAUAUUUUCUAACUUCAUAUGCAGGUGAUCAUGAAUACAUUGAUAUUGUUGGCUUUAAUGAUUCUGGAUGCCGAUUGAUUAUUGACAUAGAUUUUCGGAGCCACUUCGAGAUUGCUAGAGCUGUUGAAUCCUAUGAUAGUAUAUUGAACUCUCUUCCGGUCAUUUAUGUGGGCUCUUUUACCAAGCUUAAACAAUACCUUCAGGUAAUGGUCGAGGUUGCUAGAUCUUCUUUGAAGCAGAAUUCAAUGCCUCUACCUCCC
rnacentral:lncRNA from 1 species